rfam:Schistosoma mattheei strain Denwood, Zambia genome assembly, scaffold: SMTD_contig0002560
AUUCAGCCGACGAGUCCCAAAUAGGACGAAGCAUAAGUAAUGGAU